rnacentral:rRNA from 1 species
GACGAAGGUGGCAAGCGUUGUUCGGAUUCACUGGGCAUAAGGGGCGCGUAGGCGGUUCCGAAAGUGGCCUGUGAAAUCCCCCGGCUCAACCGGGGAAGUGCGGGCCAAACUUCGGUCCUUGAGGCUGGGAGGGGAGACUGGAACUCUCGGUGGAGCGGUGAAAUGCGUAGAUAUCGAGAGGAACACCGGUGGCGAAGGCGAGUCUCUGGUCCAGCUCUGACGCUGAGGCGCGAAAGCGUGGGUAGCAAACAGG